rnacentral:rRNA from 1 species
UCGGACGGUAGCACAGAGAGCUUGCUCUCGGGUGACGAGUGGCGGACGGGUGAGUAAUGUCUGGGGAUCUGCCCGAUAGAGGGGGAUAACCACUGGAAACGGUGGCUAAUACCGCAUAACGUCGCAAGACCAAAGAGGGGGACCUUCGGGCCUCUCACUAUCGGAUGAACCCAGAUGGGAUUAGCUAGUAGGCGGGGUAAUGGCCCACCUAGGCGACGAUCCCUAGCUGGUCUGAGAGGAUGACCAGCCACACUGGAACUGAGACACGGUCCAGACUCCUACGGGAGGCAGCAGUGGGGAAUAUUGCACAAUGGGCGCAAGCCUGAUGCAGCCAUGCCGCGUGUAUGAAGAAGGCCUUCGGGUUGUAAAGUACUUUCAGCGGGGAGGAAGGCGAUGCGGUUAAUAACCGCGUCGAUUGACGUUACCCGCARAARAAGCACCGGCUANCUCCGUGCCAGCAGCCGCGGUAAUACGGAGGGUGCAAGCGUUAAUCGGAA